UACGGAGGGGCCAGCGUUGCUCGGAAUUAUUGGGCGUAAAGGGCGCGUAGGCGGCUUGGUAAGUUUGAUGUGAAAUCCCAUGGCUCAACCAUGGAACUGCAUCUCAUACUGCCGAGCUAGAGUCUGGGAGAGGGAAGCGGAAUUCCCGGUGGUAGCGGUGAAAUGCGUAGAUAAUCGGGAGGAACACCAGUGGCGAAGGCGGCUUCCUGGACCAGCACUGACCGCUGAGGCGCGAAAGCUAGGGGAGCAACAGGGAUUAAGAAACCCA
rnacentral:rRNA from 1 species